rnacentral:sRNA from 1 species
ACUUUUAACUGAAUUCAUCUCUUUGGCUGGAUUUUGUGAAUCAGGCAGCCGUUAGAACCAAAACAGUUCUGAGGAACUCCCAGGCUGCAGUGUGGUGUGAAAUGUUUUAUGGACAGAAAAUGGAAAUGAGGUACAGAAACUGGAGGCUAAGAAUAAACUUGAAGACAAAGAGUAGAUUUUGGCCAGACACUGAUGCUAAAGUCACCCCAAUGCUGUCUUUGCUUCUAAAAUGAAAUUUCAGUCUUUAUUCAAGAUCAAGUGCAACUGUCUCUUUGAGGGAAGUCCUUUGACC